AGUGAACGUUGGCGGCGUGGAUUAGGCAUGCAAGUCGAGCGAUCGUAGCAAUACGGGAGCGGCAAACGGGGUAGGAAUACAUCGGAACGUACCCUCUGGUCGAGGAUAGCGUCGGGAAACUGACGGUAAUACUCGAUAAAGUCGAGAGACCAAAGGUUUACUGCCGGAGGAGCGGCCGAUGCGAUAUUAGGUAGUUGGUGGGGUAACGGCCUACCAAGCCUGAGAUGUCUAGGGGGGUGUGAGAGCAUGGCCCCCCACCACUGGGACUGAGAAACUGCCCAGACACCUACGGGUGGCUGCAGUCGAGGAUCUUCGUCAAUGGGCGAAAGCCUGAACGAGCGACGCCGCGUGCGGGAUGAAGGCCCUUGGGUUGUAAACCGCUGUCAGGGGGGAUGAAACCGCAAGGUUGACAGAGCCCCAGAGGAAGCACGGGCUAAGUUCGUG
rnacentral:rRNA from 1 species